GCGCGAGUGGCGGAAUUGGCAGACGCGCAGGAUUUAGGUUCCUGUGCCCCAGGGCGUGCGGGUUCAAGUCCCGUCUCGCGCA
rnacentral:tRNA from 1 species